UUUCACUCUAUGUCUCCCUCUCUUGCCAUUUCUUCUCCUCAUUGCCAUAGAAGUGGUUCAUUGAACCAAUACUAGGUUGACCACCCAUUCCCCUCACUCUCUACCUCUCCUUGUCGUCCCCUCCUCCCUCUCUUCCAUAUGCUCUCUUUUUUCGUCCAUUUUUUACCCUUUUCUACACAUCCCCUUUUUUCUUUUUUAUUUUUUCUUCCUUCCUCCACCAUGAUCGACUUUAUCACAACCAAACACCGUACCUUUUAGCCACCGUAUCUCAUCUUCUUCCUUUUCGUUCUCUUUUCUCCCCCAUCUCCCUCCUCCUUUCAUCUCAUUUUCCCAUCACUUCUUAUGCCAAACCUUUAUUAUUAUUUAUUUUUCCUACACCCUAUGUCAAACCAUCGCUCAUCUGAUCGUUGAACCACCGUUGCUGCCUCCGUCUCCACUGGUAGUUGAGUUUUCAUCUUAGUUUCUUUUAGAUCUCUACAGUCCCCUCUAGUGACCAAACCUACUCCACUCUCC
rnacentral:lncRNA from 1 species